rnacentral:snoRNA from 1 species
UUGCAUGUAGUUAUUAUAUCUCUUUUUAUUUUAAAAAUAGUUCACCCUUUUGUAUGUGAGCAAUGUUUUUUCUUAUGUGCUAUACAAAUAGUUGAAGGUUAAUUGGCAAUGUAACUAUAAAUAGUAAUGCUGCCAGUCUCCUUCAGACAAAA